rnacentral:rRNA from 1 species
GACGAACGCUGGCGGCGUGCCUAAUACAUGCAAGUUGAGCGCUGAAGGUUGGUACUUGUACCAACUGGGUGAGCAGCGAACGGGUGAGUAACGCGUGGGGAAUCUGCCUUUGAGCGGGGGACAACAUUUGGAAACGAAUGCUAAUACCGCAUAAAAACUUUAAACACAAGUUUUAAGUUUGAAAGAUGCAAUUGCAUCACUCAAAGAUGAUCCCGCGUUGUAUUAGCUAGUUGGUGAGGUAAAGGCUCACCAAGGCGAUGAUACAUAGCCGACCUGAGAGGGUGAUCGGCCACAUUGGGACUGAGACACGGCCCAAACUCCUACGGGAGGCAGCAGUAGGGAAUCUUCGGGAAUGGACGAAAGGCUGACCGAGCAACGCCGCGGGAGUGAAGAAGGGUUUCGGAUCGGAAAACUCUGUUGGUAGAGAAGAAAGUUGGUGGGAGUGGAAAGCUCAUCAAGUGACGGUAACUACCCAGAAAGGGACGGCUAACUACGUG